rnacentral:rRNA from 1 species
AGAGUUUGAUCAUGGCUCAGGACGAACGCUGGCGGCGUGCCUAACACAUGCAAGUCGAACGGAGAAUUUCAAAGAGCUUGCUCUAAGAGAUUUUUAGUGGCGGACGGGUGAGUAACGCGUGGGUAACCUACCCAUAAAGCCGGGACAACCCUUGGAAACGAGGGCUAAUACCGGAUAAUCUUAAGUCUUGGCAUCAAGGCAUAAGGAAAGGUGGCCGAUGAGAAUGCUACCGAUUAUGGAUGGACCCGCGUCUGAUUAGCUGGUUGGUGGGGUAAAGGCCUACCAAGGCGACGAUCAGUAGCCGGCCUGAGAGGGUGAACGGCCACACUGGGACUGAGACACGGCCCAGACUCCUACGGGAGGCAGCAGUGGGGAAUCUUCCGCAAUGGACGAAAGUCUGACGGAGCAACGCCGCGUGUAUGAUGAAGGCCUUCGGAUUGUAAAGUACUGUCUUUGGGGAAGAACGAAGUACUUGAGAAAAUUGAGUACAAAUGACGGUACCCAAGGAGGAAGCCCCGGCUAACUACGUGCCAGCAGCCGCGGUAAUACGUAGGGGGCAAGCGUUGUCCGGAAUUAUUGGGCGUAAAGGGCGCGUAGGCGGAUAAUUAAGUCCGGUGUGAAAGAUCAGGCUCAACCCUGAGAGUGCAUCGGAAACUGGCUAUCUUGAGGACAGGAGGGGAAG